ACCCGUAUGCAGACAUAGUAAAGAAAAAAAAAUAAGAUUUCUUUUUAAUUUUAUAGAGUUGAACUGAAACUCGCUCACAGAGACAUUUCCACUUGACACUAGUGCCUUGGGAGCCUCAAAGUAGAUGAGACGUUUACUAACAAGCACACACAAACACAACCGCCACCUGAUUUCUGCCUGCGUUUCCACUGGCAAUCUUAUGCUUAGCUACCUUUGGACCCCCGGAGGGAAAAGAAACCAAAACAGAACAAAACUUCUCACAUCAGAACUACCAGUUACGGGGGAAGAGAAAAAAGAAAACACAAGCAAACAGAAAAGAAGUCCUCUAGAGUGCAAGGUUUCCCAGGAGCGUGGGCUCUCUGGCACCCUCUCCACGGAGGCGGCGGGCCAGCUGCAUGUCUUGGGGCAUAAUUGUGACGCGCCUGGCAUGGAUGGCACACAGGUUGGUGUCUUCAAAGAGCUGCACCAGGUAGGCCUCGCUGGCCUCCUGCAGGGCGCCAAUGGCCGCGCUCUGGAAGCGCAGGUCCAGGCUGAUGGCCUGGGCGAUCUCGCGCACCAGGCGCUGGAAGGGCAGCUUGCGCAGGAGCAGCUGCGUGGACUUCUGGUACUUUCUGAUUUCCCGCAGCGCCAGGGUGCCAGGCUUGUAGCGAGAGAAGAGGAAAAACACAACAGAACGCAAAGGAAACCAUUUACAAUGCAAGAUUUCCCAGGAGGGCUCUUCAGCACCCUCUCCACGGAGGCUGUGGGCCAGCUGCACGUCUCUUGGCAUAAUUGGGACGCUUCUGGCAUGGAUGACAUACAGGGCUACUUUUGGACCCCGUGAGGGAAAUAAAACCAAAAGUGAAGAAAAAUGCUAAUAUCAGAUCCAGGAUGAACGCAGAGAAGAGUAAAAACACAAUCAAACGGAAACGAAGCCGUCUAAAGUGCAGUGUUUGCCAGGAGUGUGGGCUCUCCGCGGAGGCGAUGGGCCAGCUGCAUGUCUCUGGGCAUAACUGUGACACGCCUGGCAUGGAUUGCACAUGGGUUGGCGUCUUCAAAGAGGCGCACCAGGUAGGCCUCGCUGGUACCCUGAGAGCACCAAUGGCAGCGAUCUGGAAGCGCAGGUCCGGGUUGAUAGCCUGGGCGAUCUCGCGCACCAGGAGCUGGAAGGGCAGCUUGCACAGGAGCGGCUGCGUGGACUUCUGCUGGUACUUUCUGAUUUUGCGCAGCGCCAGUGUGCCAGGCCUGUAGCGCUGAGGCUUCUUGAUGACUCCUGUGAACGGCGCCCUCUUGCCAGCGGCCUUGGUGGCCAGGGUCUUCCUUGGGGGGCAGAGGGUGGCUUUGCGGACGGUGGGCUUGGUGUGCGCCAUGGUGUGGGUCACGGCCUUUCCUGUGUCCUUGGGCUGAGCCUGGUGAACAGGAGGCAGCGCUGGUACCUGACAGCAAUGAUGGUGGGGCUGUGGACAGGAUUCAGCUGCAGGCUCUCCCCUCUCCUUGGGCUGAGCCUGGUCAGCUGCAGGCUACCCUAGCGUCAGAGAGCGAGGGCAGUGGGGCUAUGGACAGGAUUCAGAGAGCCUGUGAGUUGAGAUCCAUGAAGAAGAUGCACCCACACGCUUAGCCCUUUCCAACCCAGCCCUGGACUUACCAGCUCCCAGGUCUGCGGGUCAGAGGCCCCACUGUUCCUUCUCCCCUGUGGGUUUCAGGCUUCCAAGGUCUACACAGCAGCAGCCAGGAAUCUCCCUUCCAAGCUGUCUGGCUCUGGCUGAAGAUCUCUGUGGUCUCAGCCAAGUGCAGCCUCUUAUAAGGGGUCAGAUGAUUGCAUUAGAACCACCCAGCUACCUUCCAUUGUUCUCACUGCUUCACUAGACCCUCAACCUCAUCAGGGCUGUGAAAACCUAAUCAAAUCCUUAGGUUCUGCUCACACCCAAUGGAGGGAGGAACCUCUGGACUGUGCCUCAUGAGAGGGAUGGUAGGUGUGAGUUAGCUGGAAUCUGGGUGCGAAAAUGAUUCUGAAAGUUUACAUCUCAUGAUCAUCAUGGAAAUAGUUACAAUGAAAACGACAUUUGAAUAAAGUCACACAUUCGAUGACUUUCAUGACUGCUGCAGAACUCCACUGGGUGCCACCAUGAGGUGUCUCUCAGAUUCUCUGAGGAUGAGGUGAAACAGGGAGGGAAAGAUGGAAAACCGAAAUGGUCACUCCUCUAUCAGGGACCCCCCCAGGGACAUUUUUCUCCCCAAAAGUGACAUUCAUGAAAAUCUGCCUUGGGGAGAAAGCUGAAGUCUUUUUGAUAAAAGUCUUUUUGAUAAAAGUCUUUUUGAUAAAAUGGUCACAUGUGCCCGUCACAUCAUAUCAUAGAAAAACUUUAGGUUUAUGGCAAAAUUGGGCAGAAGAAACAGAGGUCCCCUAUAUCCUCUACCCACUUACACUAUCAACUUUCUGCCCUAGUCAUUAUUCUGACUCCAAGACCAUUGCUCUCCUUAGGAUUCACUUGUGUGUUGUACAUUCUAUUGGUUCAAGUAAAGGCAUAAUUACAUGUAUCCACCAGUAUCGUAUCCCAAGGAAGAGUCUUGUGGAGCAGUUUCACUUCCGUCCAAAUCCACGGUGUCUUGUCUCUUCACUGCUCCUUCACCUUCCAUCCUUUGCAACCACUCAACUAUUGAUUUAUUUAUUCAUAUUUAAAUAAACACAUCUCAUUGUACCUAUUUCUUAUGUACAAAGUGAUGUUUUAAAUUAUGUACACAUUGCCUGAUGUCU
rnacentral:lncRNA from 1 species